rnacentral:lncRNA from 1 species
GGGGACACAGCCGGGAAGGUGAGAGACAGCGAUGCUCUCUCCUCUGGCCCGGAGCAAAAACCUUUGUCCCGCAGGAUUCCAUGAAAGCCACCUCACACCGGGAGAAGAGCUGGAUAGGGCGCUGGCGGGGGGGAAUUACAGCCGGAGAGUUCGCUCUUGGUACUGCUUUAGGUUUAACCCACAGAUUCCCCCGGCUGAACCCCUCCGCUGGGCUGAAUUUAGCAGCAGAAGAGAUAACCAACAGAUAAGGACUGAUACCCUGGGAGGACAGCGGGAGACUGGUAGGCGGCCGAGGAGAGGGAGAGGAGCCGGAGGCAGCGCUGGGAAGGAAGGGAAAAGAAGGUGCAAAAGCAAUUCCCGUGGAUUGUUUCUGGCGCGUGUGGCCGGAUCCAGCCUCUUUCUGCGGGGAAUUAUCGGAGCCGGGAAUCGCAGGACGCACAUCCCGAAAAUCGGAGAGGUGAGGAACCGCACCGAGCCCAGCCCGGCGUGACCCAACAGCCGGCAGGGAGAGGAUGGAUUUAGGACACAAUUUCUCCCGGAAAAAGCAGAUGGGACACAGCAAAUCGUAGCGACAAAAAAUAAAUAA